rnacentral:sRNA from 1 species
GCACAGCCCUCUUGCGCUCAAUUUGACAACAUGGCGCCCUCUUGGAAGCACACAUCGGAGGAAGAAAGAAAACGUAUUGUAAAGUUGCAUUUGCAAGGUAAAAGUUAUAGAGUAAUCGAAAAGGAAACGGGCCGAUGUUUACGCACUUGUGUAAAUGUUGUCAAAGAUUAUGAAAAAAAUCACGUCGUAAGAACACGAAGAAAACCUUCUGAGCGACCCAGGAAAAUAACACAGACUGUUCUACAGUAUAUUGAAUAUCAGAAAUGGAAGGAACCGUCUAUAAUUUGCAAAAAAAUCCGUCAGAAAUUGCUGGAUGAUCAGAUAUGUACCGUUAACAACGUGCCAUCAGUAAAGUCAAUAUCCCGUGCAUUGAAAUACGAGCUUAAUUUUUCUCGCAAUAACGAAACCGUCAUCCCAGCUGAAUAUUUACGACCAGGCGACAAACAUAGGGUAGUUACCUUUAAACUUAUAUAAAACACAGAUACCUGUUCUAUUGACGGAAAAGCCAGAACUCGUUCGGUUCAUGCACAUAAAAGUUAACAAUAUGAUAUUGAAUUCAUGUCUUAUGUGAACGUGUGUUGUGGUUUCUUUGGAUUCAGGAAUAAACCUUUUCAGCGUAUUAAAUGUCGCCUCAAAUGCAUGAAAAAUAUUUGAAAUUUUUGAUAAAAACCUUUGCAGAAAAAAUGAAAUUGGGAACCCUGUGUGUAGUGAUGUGGUACAAUUUUUGACAUUACUGCAUAUUUCAACAUCAGGAACAAGGAGAGAUGUUAUUGGAAGAAACGUGCAGCCCCCAUACAAUUGAGAGUUUAAUGUACGAAAUGUGUAUUUGGCCUAAUGAGACAACAUUUGCGACAGAAUGAAAAAAUUGUGUCAUAGUUUACUGAACUAGCUAUUGUAAAGGCACUUGACCAAUCAGUUUUGUAAAUACAUAACUUACCAGUAGUCGGCAUUUACUUGCCAUCUUUUUUCAAAAGAUGUGGUUAUACAUGAAAUAUCUUGCUAUUUUUUGUACCCUAUGUCCAAUUAAUUAUUUUCUUUGAAGAUUCUAAGGUUUCUAAACUUCAAUGAAAAUAAAAUUAACUCU